ACACAUGCAAGUCUAGGGGCAACAUCAUUAAAGCUUGCUUUGAUGGAUGGCGACUGGCGCACGGGUGAGUAACACGUAUCCAACCUGCCGACAACACUGGGAUAACCUUUCAAAAGAAAGAUUAAUACCGGACUGGCAUACUUUUCCCGCAUGGGAUAAUUAUUAAAAAAUUUCGGUUGUCGAUGGGGAUGCGUUCCAUUAGGCACAUUGGCGGGGUAACGGCCCACCAAACCAACGAUGGAUAGGGGUUCUGAGAGGAAGGUCCCCCACAUUGGAACUGACACACCGUCCAAACUCCUACGGGAGGCAGCAGUGAGGAAUAUUGGUCAAUGGACGAGAGUCUGAACCAACCAAGUAGCGUGAAGGAUGACUGCCCUAUGGGUUGUAAACUUCUUUUAUACGGAAAUAAAGUGAGCCACGUGUGGCUUUUUGUAUGUACCGUAUGAAUAACGAUCGGCUAACUCCGUGCCAGCAGCCGCGGUAAUACUGACGAUCCGAGCGUUAUCCGGAUUUAUUGGGUUUAAAGGGAGCGUAGGCCGGUUGUUAACUCAGAUGUGAAACUUUGCCGCUCAACCCUAAAAUUGCAAUUGAUACUGGCUACCUUGAGUGCAACAGAUGUAAGCGGAGUUCGUGAUGUAUCGGCGAAAUGCUUAGAUAUCACCAAGAACUCCGAUUGCGAAUGCAGCUUACUGUAUUGUAACUGACUCUGAUGCUCGAAAGUGUGAGUAUCACACAGGAUUAGAUACCCUGGUAGUCCACACAGUAAACGAUGAAUACUCGAUGUUGGCGAUAUUCGGUCAGCGUCCAAGCGAAAGCAUUAAGUAUUCCACCUGGGGAGUACGCCGGCAACGGUGAAACUCAAAGGAAUUGACGGGGGCCCGCACAAGCGGAGGAACAUGUGGUUUAAUUGGAUGAUACGUGAGGAACCUUACCCGGGCUUAAAUUGCAUUUGACUGAACCGGAAACGGUUCUUUAUUCGGACAGUUGUGAAGGUGCUGCAUGGUUGUCGUCAGAUCGAGCCGUGAGGUGUCGGGUUAAGUGCCAUAACGAGCGCAACCCUUAUUGAUAGUUAUUAGCAGGUCAUGAUGAGGACUCUAUUGAGACUGCCGUCGUAAGAUGUGAGGAAGGUGGGGAUGACGUCAAAUCAGCACGGCCUUUACGUCCGGGGCUACACACGUGUUACAAUGGGGGGUACAGAAGGCAGCUACACGGCGACGUGGUGCUAAUCCCUAAAGCCUCUCUCAGUUCGGAUUGGAGUAUGCAACCUGACUCCAUGAAGCUGGAUUCGCUAGUAAUCGCGCAUCAGCCACGGCGCGGUGAAUACGUUCCCGGGCCUUGUACACACCGCCCGUCAAGCCAUGAAAGCCGGGGGUACAAGAAGUACGUAACCGCGAGGAG
rnacentral:rRNA from 1 species